rnacentral:rRNA from 1 species
UACGUAGGGGGCAAGCGUUGUCCGGAUUUAUUGGGCGUAAAGAGCGUGUAGGCGGCUAGGUAGGUCCGUUGUGAAAACUCGAGGCUCAACCUCGAGCUGUCGAUGGAAACCAUCUGGCUAGAGUCCGGAAGAGGAGAGUGGAAUUCCUGGUGUAGCGGUGAAAUGCGCAGAUAUCAGGAAGAACACCCGUGGCGAAGGCGGCUCUCUGGUACGUGACUGACGCUGAGACGCGAAAAGCGUGGGGAGCGAACAGG